rnacentral:rRNA from 1 species
GACGAACGCUGGCGGCGCGCCUAACACAUGCAAGUCGAACGAGCGAGAGAGAGCUUGCUUUCUCGAGCGAGUGGCGAACGGGUGAGUAACGCGUGAGGAACCUGCCUCAAAGAGGGGGACAACAGUUGGAAACGACUGCUAAUACCGCAUAAGCCCACGGCUCGGCAUCGAGCAGGGGGAAAAGGAGCAAUCCGCUUUGAGAUGGCCUCGCGUCCGAUUAGCUAGUUGGUGAGGUAACGGCCCACCAAGGCGACGAUCGGUAGCCGGACUGAGAGGUUGAACGGCCACAUUGGGACUGAGACACGGCCCAGACUCCUACGGGAGGCAGCAGUGGGGAAUAUUGCACAAUGGGGGAAACCCUGAUGCAGCGACGCCGCGUGGAGGAAGAAGGUCUUCGGAUUGUAAACUCCUGUUGUUGGGGAAGAUAAUGACGGUACCCAACAAGGAAGGGACGGCUAACUACGU